rnacentral:rRNA from 1 species
AAAAACAUUUCUAUAAGAAAUAAUUUAUAGUAAAGCCUGCUCAAUGAAAAUUUAAAUAGCCGCAUUAGUGCUAAGGUAGCAUAAUAAUUUGUCUUUUAAUUGAAGACUAGAAUGAAAGACUCAACUUUUAAAUCUAUUUCUUAUGUUUAUUUUUUCAAAAUUAUCUUAAAUGUAAAAAGACAUUUAUUUCUUAAAAAGACGAUAAGACCCUAUCGAACUUAACUUCAGUUUAACUGGGGCAGUUAAUUAAGUAUAAUUUUAAUUAUACAUAAUAAAAAAUUAGACCUAAUAUAAUUAAUUUUAUAAACAAGUUACCGUAGGGAUAACAGCGUAAUAAUAUUUUAAAGAUCUUAUUAAAAAUAAAGAUUGCGACCUCGAUGUUGAUUUAAUAACCUAAUUUACGCAAUAGUAAAAAAAGGAAGUCUGUUCGACUUUUAAAAAAUUACAUGAUUUGAGUUCAGACCGGUGUAAACCAGGUCGGUUUCUAUCUUUUAAAAAAAAUAUUACAGUACGAAAGGACCUAAUAAAUUAAUAUAAUU